rnacentral:tRNA from 3 species
GCGCCCGUAGCUCAGUUGGACAGAGCGUCGGCCUCCGGAGCCGAAGGUCGCUGGUUCGAAUCCAGUCGGGCGCGCCA